rnacentral:rRNA from 1 species
GACGAACGCUGGCGGCGUGCUUAACACAUGCAAGUCGAACGGAAAGGCCCUGCUUUUGUGGGGUGCUCGAGUGGCGAACGGGUGAGUAACACGUGAGUAGCCUGCCCUUGACUUUGGGAUAACUUCAGGAAACUGGGGCUAAUACCGGAUAGGAGCUCCUGCUGCAUGGUGGGGGUUGGAAAGUUUCGGCGGUUGGGGAUGGACUCGCGGCUUAUCAGCUUGUUGGUGGGGUAGUGGCUUACCAAGGCUUUGACGGGUAGCCGGCCUGAGGGGGUGACCGGCCACAUUGGGACUGAGAUACGGCCCAGACUCCUACGGGAGGCAGCAGUGGGGAAUAUUGCACAAUGGGCGGAAGCCUGAUGCAGCAACGCCGCGUGCGGGAUGACGGCCUUCGGGUUGUAAACCGCUUUCGCCUGUGACGAAGCGUGAGUGACGGUAAUGGGUAAAGAAGCACCGGCUAACUACGUG